rnacentral:rRNA from 1 species
UUGAUCCUGCCGGACCCGACUGCUAUAGGGAUGAGACUAAGAUAUGCAAGUCGCACGCCUGAAACCACGUUCAGGAGUGGCAUACCGCUCAGUAACACGUUGACAACCUACCCUCCGGACGGGAACAACUACGGGAAACUGUGGCUAAUUCCCGAUAGGCGACGACGCCUGGAAUGGUCCGCCGCUCAAAGCCAACCGCGCAUGUGCGGCGCGCACCGGAGGACGGGUCAGCGGCUGAUUAGGUUGUUGGCGGGGUAACGGCCCACCAAGCCGCCGAUCAGUACCGGCCGUGAUAGCGGGAACCGGGAGAUGGGCACUGAGACAAAGGCCCAGGCCCUACGGGGCGCAGCAAUCGCGAAACCUCCACAAUCCGGGCAACCGGGAUGGGGUCAUCCCUAGUGCCACGCAACCGCGUGGCUUUUGUCGACAGUAGGAACGUCGACGAAUAAGGGGAGGGCAAGACUGGUGCCAGCCGCCGCGGUAAAACCAGCUCCUCGAGUGGUCGGGACAAUUAUUGGGCCUAAAGCAUCCGUAGCCGGCCCGGCGGGUUCCUGGUCAAAUCCAAGCGCCCAACGUUUGGACUGCUGGGAAAACUACCGGGCUCGGGAGCGGGAGAAGCCGAGGGUACUCCUAGGGUAGGGGUGAAAUCCUGUGAUCCUAGGGGGACCACCAGUGGCGAAGGCGCUCGGCUGGAACGCGUCCGACGGUGAUGGAUGAAAGCUAGGGGAGCGAACCGGAUUAGAUACCCGGGUAGUCCUAGCUGUAAACGAUGCGGGCUAGGUGUCGGCCCGGCUACGAGCCGGUCCGGUGCCGAAGCGAAGGCGUUAAGCCCGCCGCCUGGGAAGUACGGCCGCAAGGCUGAAACUUAAAGGAAUUGGCGGGGGAGUACCACAAGGCGUGAAGCCUGCGGUUCAAUUGGAUUCAACGCCGG